GACGAACGCUGGCGGCGUGCUUAACACAUGCAAGUCGAACGGAAAGGCCCUGCUUUUGUUGGGUGCUCGAGUGGCGAACGGGUGUGUAACACGUGAGUAACCUGCCCUUGACUUUGGGAUAACUUCAGGAAACUGGGGCUAAUACCGGAUAGGAGCUCCUGCUGCAUGGUGGGGGUUGGAACGUUUCGGCGGUUGGGGAUGGACUCGCGGCUUAUCAGCUUGUUGGUGGGGUAGUGGCUUACCAAGGCUUUGACGGGUAGCCGGCCUGAGAGGGUGACCGGCGACAUGGGGACUGAGAGACGGCGCAGACUGCUACGGGAGGCAGCAGUGGGGAAUAUUGCACAAUGGGCGGAAGCCUGAUGCAGAAACGCCGCGGGCGGGAUGAAGGCCUUCGGGUUGUAAACCGCUUUCGCCUGUGACGAAGCGUGAGUGACGGUAAUGGGUAAAGAAGCACCGGCUAACUACGUG
rnacentral:rRNA from 1 species